AUGGCUCGUGGCGAUCGUCAAAACGACGAUGAUGAUUUCAUGGAUCCACCACAGCGUAAUCGUGCAACUAGAUGGAGAAAAGAGGGUGAUGAGAAGAAGAAACGUAUUCGCAACAGAGCCUCCCAAGAACGACUGACUGCGUUGACUGACAAAUUCAGCGACGAUCAGAAGGGGGCUGCUGCUGAGAUGGGUAUGCAGUCUAUGAUGGCUGUCCGGUGCACGAACCUUGUCAACCCUGUAUGCGAUUGGCUUGGUGAGAUCUACGACCCCGCCUCCAGGGAAUUCAUGAUUCCGAGACGUGGAAGACUACCGCUGAACGAGGAAUCUGUGUUCUGUACUUUGGGUGUGCCUCGUGGACAUAUCAAAGUCCCGUACGAGGCCAUGACGACGCAUGGAGAUGUUUUCAAGAUGAAGCUACUCAUGUACCUCAUCUCAGCCGUUUUCGCGCCGACCACUUCUCUUCGCCCAAGCAACAAAUGCUUCCCCAUCCUGGCGAAACUGAAAGAUGUGAAGAACAUGAAUUGGUGUAAGUUCAUUGCCGACUUCCUGCAUGAUGCAUUCGCAAGCAAGGUGUACCAGAAGGGUUGUCGACUGCAUUUAAUGCUCAUGUACGCCGACUGUCUUGAUCUACCCACCGUGGAUUUCACUGGGACAGGAGGCCCGCCGCCUACACACAAGUUUGCUAUUUCUGCGUGGACUAUUGAUGCUGUCAAGGCUGUGCUUGCUGCAGACAUGGUAACUGAUACCAAAUAUGGAAAACUGCAGCUGAUGGCCAAGCAUGCUAUAGACUACAGCGUGUUUGGGGGGCCUCAAAACUUUGGAAAGUGGAUGGACGUGCACUCAGCUCCGUCUUGCCCUGCCGAGGCGAGGGAACCUGUUGAGCAGCUAAUAGGGCAGUUUGCAUCUGGAAUGACCGGCUUGCUCGGGAAGUUGGUUGAGGGGUGGACGUCCCUCAGCGGCUCUGACAGCGACGCGGUUGCGAGUUCCCAGGAGCCUGCUAACACACAAGAUGAACUAGGUGGAGACGCUGGUCUCAGCAAGGAUGACGACGACGUCAUGGAUAAUGUGCAAGAGGACACCGAUGAUGAUGAACAUGCUGAAGUUCGCGCAGGUGGUAACAAGGGCAAGGAUGCAACAGAUGUCCCCCAACCGGAUAAAGUCAAACAACACACGGCUGGGAGAGGCGAGGGGGUUUUGCCAUCAAAGAGGGGGAUGGCUCCAGAGGGUGUUGGGAAGGGUUCUGCUGGCAAGAGGUCUAGGACCGACCCUGUA
rnacentral:rRNA from 1 species